rnacentral:tRNA from 1 species
CGUCAGGUAGCUCAGUGGUUUAGAGCAGUCGCCCGGCAAGCGAAAAGACCCGGGUUCGACUCCCGCGCUCUCGA